GCUUGCUUCUCUUGAGAGCGGCGGACGGGUGAGUAAUGCCUAGGAAUCUGCCUGGUAGUGGGGGAUAACGUUCGGAAACGGACGCUAAUACCGCAUACGUCCUACGGGAGAAAGCAGGGGACCUUCGGGCCUUGCGCUAUCAGAUGAGCCUAGGUCGGAUUAGCUAGUUGGUGAGGUAAUGGCUCACCAAGGCGACGAUCCGUAACUGGACUGAGAGGAUGAUCAGUCACACUGGAACUGAGACACGGUCCAGACUCCUACGGGAGGCAGCAGUGGGGAAUAUUGGACAAUGGGCGAAAGCCUGAUCCAGCCAUGCCGCGUGUGUGAAGAAGGUCUUCGGAUUGUAAAGCACUUUAAGUUGGGAGGAAGGGUUGUAGAUUAAUACUCUGCAAUUUUGACGUUACCGACAGAAUAAGCACCGGCUAACUCUGUGCCAGCAGCCGCGGUAAUACAGAGGGUGCAAGCGUUAAUCGGAAUUACUGGGCGUAAAGCGCGCGUAGGUGGUUUGUUAAGUUGGAUGUGAAAUCCCCGGGCUCAACCUGGGAACUGCAUUCAAAACUGACUGACUAGAGUAUGGUAGAGGGUGGUGGAAUUUCCUGUGUAGCGGUGAAAUGCGUAGAUAUAGGAAGGAACACCAGUGGCGAAGGCGACCACCUGGACUAAUACUGACACUGAGGUGCGAAAGCGUGGGGAGCAAACAGGAUUAGAUACCCUGGUAGUCCACGCCGUAAACGAUGUCAACUAGCC
rnacentral:rRNA from 1 species